GGACUACCGGGGUAUCUAAUCCUGUUUGAUCCCCACGCUUUCGUGCCUCAGUGUCAAUAUUCGUGUAGCCAGCUGCCUUCGCAAUUGGUGUUCUAUGUCAUAUCUAAGCAUUUCACCGCUACAUGACAUAUUCCGCUGACCUCCACGGUAUUCAAGACUGAUAGUAUCAAUGGCAGUUCCCAAGUUAAGCUCGGGGAUUUCACCACUGACUUACCAACCCACCUACGCACCCUUUAAACCCAGUAAUUCCGGAUAACGCUCGCACCCUCCGUAUUACCGCGGCGGCUGGCACG
rnacentral:misc_RNA from 1 species